rnacentral:lncRNA from 1 species
CGGCGAAGUUUCUAACGUCAUCACAGGUGGCUAUCUUAACUCGGGCAGCUCUCUUUAAUAAAUAUGUUUGUGCUUAAUACUAGCUUGACAUUUGCCACCAUAGACAUAUUUAUAAAGCCUUAUCUAUGUUUGCCACCAUUACCUUUUAUACUGAAGGCCGGAAAUGACGCGUUCGUAGUAUUGGACAACCCUUUCAGCUCAGUCCAUAAUGUCUCCCUCACAGACUCUGUGUUAAAAGACGCGUCUGGAAUUUUCUGGAAGCUUCUGAGAUUUGUUAGCACAAAGCUAGCGGGCCGUUGUCAGCCAGCACCCAGAGAAGCAUCAUCAUCAUCAAUGGUGUGUCUACAUCCCGGAGCCGUCACGUUCUCCAGUGUCCGCUCAAUGGUCCACCAACCCAGCUGUCAUCACAGCUGCACAUGUAUGGCGUUUGUGAAGCUCGGAGGGGAGUUCUGCCAAGCACAGCACCUGCUGCUCAUCGUGGACAAGUGAACAGAUCCCAGCAAGGCCGGUUCACUCACUGCCAACCAGUCACUGCAGGUCCUUACUGCCAUCCCAACAUCUAUGAAGAGGAGUCCACUCCCAGUCUGUGACUUGUUGUGGGGAGAGAGAGAAGCACUGGAGUUAAUCUGGGAGUCACCGCCCUCUUCUGUUGUUUUUUUUUCUUCUCUGACUCUGAUUUGUCCAAAUUUCCACUGGAUGGGCUAAUCGAUUCAUUAGAAUAAGGACGAGCCCUUUUCUGUCCUCACUUAUUGUUCAGGACUCUCUGCAUCUUCUUCACUGCUCCUCUUUACAACCACAACUAAAAAAAAAAAAAAAAAAGCCAAGCUUUAUCUUUUCCUGAAAAGACACUUUUUAUUUCAUCUUUAGUUUUUAGUCAGAAGUGUGAGGCCCAGUGAACUUCUCACUCUUUACUCUGUGAAC